UACAAACAGAGUUUUUU
rnacentral:sRNA from 1 species